CCUACGGGAGGCAGCAGUGGGGAAUAUUGGACAAUGGGCGAAAGCCUGAUCCAGCAAUGCCGCGUGAGUGAUGAAGGCCUUAGGGUUGUAAAGCUCUUUUACCAGGGAUGAUAAUGACAGUACCUGGAGAAUAAGCUCUGGCUAACUCCGUGUCAGCAGCCGCGGUAAUACGGAGGGAGCUAGCGUUGUUCGGAAUUACUGGGCGUAAAGCGUACGUAGGCGGUUAUUCAAGUCAGAGGUGAAAGCCUGGAGCUCAACUCCAGAACUGCCUUUGAAACUAGAUAGCUAGAAUCUUGGAGAGGUGAGUGGAAUUCCGAGUGUAGAGGUGAAAUUCGUAGAUAUUCGGAAGAACACCAGUGGCGAAGGCGACUCACUGGACAAGUAUUGACGCUGAGGUACGAAAGCGUGGGGAGCAAACAGGAUUAGAUACCCUGGUAGUCCACGCCGUAAACGAUGAUAACUAGCUGUUCGGGCUCUACGAGCUUGAGUGGCGCAGCUACGACAUUAAGUUAGUCCGUCCGUCGGGAGGUACGGUCGGCGAAGUAAGUUAAACUUAACGUUAAAGAAAGUUAGUUAGGACGUGAGACGUUGCCGACGGACGACGACGAGGGAGGAGG
rnacentral:rRNA from 1 species